rnacentral:rRNA from 1 species
AACGAACGCUGGCGGCGCGCCUAACACAUGCAAGUCGAACGAGAAUCCGGGGCAACCCGGUAGUAAAGUGGCAAACGGGUGAGGAAUACAUGGGUAACCUACCCUUGAGAAGGGAAUAACCCGCCGAAAGGUGAGCUAAUACCCUAUACGCUAUCUUUUUUCGUAAAGGAAUAGGAAAGACCGGGUCGGAGGACCUGGUACUCAAGGAGGGGCGUCAUGUCCUAUCAGCUUGUUGGUGGGGGUAACGGGCCUACCAAGGCUACGACGGGUAGGCUGGUCUGAGAGGAUGAUCAGCCACACUGGCACUGAGAUACGGGCCGAGACUCCUACGGGAGGGCAGCAGUGAGGAAUAUUGCGCAAUGGGCGAAAG